CAAAUAAUCACCAGAGAAACAUUCAAAAUCAUGUAUUUCGAUGAGAAUUUCAUAAAACAAAGAUUAAAAAAUACAUUAAAAGGAGACAUCGAGUAUUUCAAAAACCUCUGUUUUAUUUGUACAGAGUAAAAUACAUCGUAUUGCGAACAUCGUUUUCAUUCCAUAAUCGAAAGCCAUUAUUAAGUGGUCUUCUUUUCACCAAAUACCCUGGUCAGAAGCACAGACAAUGGAAAUAGGAAAGCUAAUUAGUCUCUCUCUGCCAGAGCUACAAGGUGCAUGUCAAUCUCUGUUUCUGUAAGGAUCCUGAACUUCGGAUUUUCCACUGUAACUACACCAACUUCUAUUUCUGAAGGUUUGAAAUCAAUGGAUAGUACAGUAGACAGACAUGUUAUUGCUGUCUCUACAGUUUGUUCAUACGUCCAAUCAAAUUUCUUCUUUACUUUCUUUUCAAGGAAACUGGUCGACUCUGUCUGUUUAACUCCUGCAGCCGUGGCCUUGAAUCCACAAUAGUAACCUGCCGGAUCACACUUGUACACCUGAGGGCCAUGCUCUUCAUCAAUACCAAUCAAAAUCAUACAGCAACCAAGAGGCCUCAUUUCAGCAUUUUGCGUAUAGACCUGAGAAAUAUCCGCAAUCCUUUUACAUAGCAUAUCCACAGGGAUGUCGUAGCCAUACUUGUACUUCCAGUUAGCAGCCUCAUAGCGGGCUCUCUGCACCUGGGAUCUGCUGUCAGCUGUCAUUCCUGUCAUCACACAGCCAAUAUUUUCAGUAAUGCUGAACAAAUGAGUUACUGUGUUGGAAUCCAGUAACUUGUCAGGUACUUUCUUCUGCGUUACGAUUACUGCAGAGUCUUUCCCACGAACAGCUACAGACGUAAGUCCGCCCUGGUUUAUGGCCUUAAAAGCAUACUCGACUUGGUAGAGGCGGCCCUCGGGCGAAAAGAUGGUGAUGUGGCGGUCGAAGCCGGCGCUGGAGCCUCGAGACAUGGCGGCAGUGGGAACGGCACGGCCGAGGGGCUGUCAGCGUGCAGGACCCCACCGCUACCGCAACGGGCCGCCGCCGGAGCGCUUCCGGGUCACGGGAGGCGCGCAGGCGCUCGAGGACUCCCAGCUCGCGCACCGUCACGCUCCAUCCCCACCACUGCGCAUGCCCGAACUCCGCGGCACCCAUCGGCCUCGCGCCUCUCCUCUGGAGAGCGUGCGCAGUAGGGCCUGGUCACGGUACGGGCUGAGGGGCGGCGGGCGGGACGGGGGCUGUCGUGUCGUGACGUGUCGCCUCCGCCGGACUAUCCGGGAGCCGCCGAGGCGCUGCCUGGCGGAAAGAGGUGCGGGGGGGCGGCGGUGCCGCGGGACUACCCAGGGAGCGGAAAAGUAAAGCCCCGGUGUGAGCUGCGCGGGCAGCCCGGGGAAGAACAGCCCCUUCGCUCUGCAAACAAAGCGUUUCCACGUGUUGUCUUAAUGAGCGGAAUUUUAAAGAAAUCCGGCAGCCCCAAAGAGGACGGUUAGGGUACUUCUGAGGAGUCAUUGUUCCUACAGCCGCGUCGCAUCGCAUCGCAGCGCGAUGUUUGCAGACUGCCUCAGCAGCCCAGUGCGGAGGGAACCUCCCGUUUAAACUGGUGAACGCCCAUCUGCCUUUCGGCAGCCUGGAUUUCCCCCGCUCGGGGGGGAGGUCUUUGUUUUUCUCUUCUUUUUUUUUUAAGUCAGGCCAUCGAAAGCCGUUUGGAUAAGCACACCUCCGAUUUAAAAUAUUAUUAACUAACUCCGGGUGAAAUAGGGGAUGCCAGGUGCGUUUUGGGGCGCGCUGUUUGCCCCACGUUAGGCCUGCUUUAAUAGCUUAUAGCUGUCCUUCUUUAUUAACGGGACACUGAGUAUUUAUUUACAAGAGGCAGUUUUUGUCCCCUUCGUUUUGGAGAAGUGUUGUGGGCGGAUAAAGAAUGUUCAAAAUGUGUGGUGAGAAGUCUCCAGCCCAGUGCCCCAUCACCAGCUGUGACCAAAAGCAAAUGCCCAAGGACAAGCAUUAAGGCUACAGAGAGCCUUUAAUGAUGCAUUCCCUGAAUAUCCUCCCAGCCUCCUGCUGUCUGCAGGGACUUCCCAAAACAGUGAUAGCAUCUGGUUAUUUAACAGCCCGUGCUGGGUUUUCUCUUUCAUGAACUCGCUGGUUUCCCUUUUAGCUCCUGUGAACCGCCUGCAUCCACUACACACGGUAGCAAAGGGCCGCUCAGCACAACAAUGUGUUGUGCAGUUUCAUCUGAACCUUCUAUCUGCCACCAUCAUUUGAUGCUGCUUCUGCACUGGGAAGAGACAGCGAACAAUCUGUCCCCAUGCAUACCCUCCACAACACUCAAGAUUCCUAAAACCUCUUUCUUUUAAGUUCUCUUUUCUUCUGGGCUGAGGAUGCCUCGCUUCUUACUCCUACCAUACAUGAAGCUAUUCUAUCUUGCAGCGUUGGAGUUUAAUGCCAGAUAUUUUAUUUUUUCCUAUGAGAAAAAGGAGACGAGAAAAGCAGAAGGAAUGCUCAAACAUUUCAUCAAAUUGCCAAAAAGCAACCAAGCAAGAAAAUCCUUGACUUUUAAGUGUUUGGAUUCAAAGAUUCAAUAUUUUACUUAGACCAAGACUGAGAUCGAACAGUUGCUCAAUGCCAUCCAUCAGUGUGGCAGAGUAGAAGUCAAACUACUUCGAGGAUACAGCUUCUAGAAGUCUUCUCUACCUAUGUAGCAAUUUCAUCAAAUUCCAAAGCAUGGUUUUGUUUCACAAGAGUAAUCAAAUAUUUUCCAUGUAAUAUCCAUCAUCUCUUAUCAGCCAUAUGAGAAUCAAAGUGUGUGCUGAAAGCUUCUGAGAAAGACUGCUCUCACACCUUUUUUAACAUUAUAAACAGUAAAUGGAUGAUCUUGGAGAUGAAACUGACCCCACAAUAGCUACAAGCACUGGUUCAAUCAGUUCACUCUUCCUCCAGUCUGCCUUCCCAAUGCAUCUCUAUAACCACAGCAUGCCAAAGGCCAAGCUGAGCAUUCAUUUCAUCUCAUUCCCCUUCCCCUCACUUAGUGGACUAUCAAAGGGCACCUGUGCCAUUUGCAGUGGCUGCAUUUGGAGGACUUGCCAGAAUUGGCCUUUCUGGAUUUAAGUACAAGCCCAUCAAUUUGAUAAACGAAUACCAGGAAGACAUUACAAUUCUUGUGGGUUUUUUUGUUUUGUUUGUUUGAUUGUUUUUUUACAGCACUAUUGCACUAAAGGGUAUUGUGUCAAGUAGAUCUCGAUGUGCUGUUUAAUUGUUGCCUAUAAGAAUUUCUAGAUACUGCCAAUUUUUGUUUAGAAAAUUCAAGUAUUUCCAUAAGAAACCUAGUCCAGUGGCAUGAAAACUUGUUAGAAGUAGCAAAUCUAAGACUGUGAAAGAACAACACAGUAUUUCACCAGUUGUUUCUUACAGACAAAAUCUUAAUGUAUGUUGUUAAAACAAAUCUUUUGCAUUGAAUGUAAUCAAAUGAAUUCUAAUUAAAGCGAGGAAGUAUUAGAACUAUGUGUGCCAGACCAAUGGCAAUCAUGCCAUUUGCCCCAGUAAGCUUUAUUUGCUAGGUUCUAUGCAAUACUGCAAGGUCACCAUGCCAAUUUUGAAGGUACUCUGAAAGUCUUGCCUAACUUUUCUGAAGAACAGUUCGUGAGUUUCAGUGUAGAUGAAAAGCUUCAGCAAAAUAAAAUAAAAUUCAAUAAAAUAAAAUAAAAAAAAAACAACCACAUGACCUGAAAUUCCAGAGGGAAAAACAAGUUUUAAUUGAAAUCACAUGGAGAGGGUACAGAAACCGCUUGUUAAGAUGAAAAUAACAGACCUAAUUCUUCCUUGCUGGACUACCAUUCGUGUCCACAGGUUUAUAACAAGAAUUUGUUUGACAAAAAGCAGCUACUGAAUUUUCUUUAGUUAUAGGCCUCAUACAUUAAUCCCAUAAUUGUAGUGCUGAGUCCUCCUAGUCUGCAGCAGCUGCCUAGCAAAACAAAAACAAACAAACAAAAAGAACCCAUCACAGAAGAAGCUUCACCUUGUGCAAUUACAUUGUUCCGUAUUUCUGCUGAAGGCAAAGCCAUUUUCUUGGUAUUUGAUAUGAAUAUUUUUCCUCAAAAGUGUCCUUAUAGGGGAUGUGCCAUGUGUCACCCGUAGUCUGUACCACACAGUCAUAACUGCAAGCAGGCUGUGGGAUAAAGGAAAAUAAAAACCAUUUUUUAGAUGUUAUCUCAUACAUUAGUAGAACACUGAUUAUAGCUAGCUAUUUCCCUUAGAAAUCUGCACAGACUCAUCUCUUUAGCAACUCUCAAUCAUUUGCUCCCAAAACCAAAUUAAGACAUCUUUUAGUGUUUUGAGGUCUAGGUGGCAUUACAAAUGGCUGCAAUUCUGUCUUCAAUCUCCACCAGGUAACAAUGAUUUGGACACAACACAUUACAUUUUGAGAAAUAAAAAAACUGUUUUUCUGUUCAGUUAAAUGAAAUCAUAUGGGAAUUAGUUCAGGAUGUAGUGUUUGGCAGCUUGAACUCACAGGGCACAUUAAAGACAUCCUGCGUUUGUCCCUCCAGUGUACCUCCACAAACUGAUUUGUAUCAAGGAUGUUUUAAGAAAAGGAGUUCUCAACCACACUUUCAAGAACAGCCAGUCAGACAAAUAUAACUCUGGUCUACUGUGGUACAGGUAUAUUAACUCAACAUAUGCAAAACAAAUAUAAAAAAAAUCACUGGUUUGCAAUUAUGGUUCUCAGAACAUAUUGUCACUCUGUGUUUAUACACUUGGAAGUCUACGAUUGGGAAUGUCCAACAUCCAAAAUCAUUCACAUGUGAAUUAAGAUUUGAAAAUUACUAGCCCUGCUACAACAAAAUAAGUACAGCUAAAGCUGUGUUACUCAAGUGACUCUACAUCCAAUAUUUGUUUCCAUUAAUAGGAAUGUGUAUAGCAUUCAUCUUUCUGUAUAUAGCUGUCAUCUUUAUAAACCUGUAUUUCUGCAGUCUGAUUGUAGUGAAGAGCAUUCAGUUACAAUUUUAACUGGAGCAGUAAGAAAAUGAAUCUAAAUAAGUGCAGCAUUGCUUUAAUUCAGCAGUAAGAAUGGAGGUAGACUGGCCACCAAGAAACCACAUGAUAUGCAAUGUCACAUGAUUGAUUUUUCCCCAGAAAAAUCUGUUCAAGGCUCACAAGGACUUCUGUCUCCUACACACACACACACACACACACACACACAUACACACACAAAGUUAAAAAAAAUAAUAAAUACAGCAUUCUGCUCUAAGAUGAUAUUGUGCUCGGAAGUCUGUGAUUUCAGAAGCUAAAUACCAACUACAGCUCUGACUAUUCUGGGAUCUCCUUCGUGAAAGUUUACAGAUAUGCUUGGAUAACGUUACAGUGAAUAUUGAGAUUCAGGUAUUUUCUUAUGGCUUCUCCUUUAGCAUGAAAACGAGAGAAAUUCUAUUACACAAUUAGAAGCAUAAUAGUGCUACAGAGGAGAAUUAUAUAGUUCAAAAUUUAAAUCAAAUGAAAAAUACUAACACAUUUUACAGCAGCAGACAGACUAUUAUACACAGAAAUAUAACUACAUUUACAUUAUAAACGUUUAAGGUGGCAAUUUCUUAUUUCCUGACAGCUUUCAUGUUUUGUGAAUAUGCUUUGUGAAUACAGUCAAUCUUCAGUAAAAAUGGAAGUUUUGAGCCCACUGCUACCAAUCUGCUUCUUAUGCU
rnacentral:lncRNA from 1 species